AUUGAACGCUGGCGGCAGGCCUAACACAUGCAAGUCGAGCGCGAAAGGUCUUCGGAUUGAGUAGAGCGGCGGACGGGUGAGUAACGCGUGGGAAUCUGCCUGGUAGAGGGGGAUAACUUGGGGAAACUCAAGCUAAUACCGCAUACGCCCUACGGGGGAAAGCGGGGGAUCUUCGGACCUCGCACUAUCAGAGGAGCCCGCGUCGGAUUAGCUAGCUGGUGGGGUAAUGGCCUACCAGGGCGACGAUCCGUAGCUGGUCUGAGAGGAUGAUCAGCCACACUGGGACUGAGACACGGCCCAG
rnacentral:rRNA from 1 species